UACCUAUGUUUGAUCGACGGUUGGAAUC
rnacentral:sRNA from 1 species